GAUGAAGAACGCAGUGAAAUGCGAUACGUAAUGUGAAUUGCAGAAUUCAGUGAAUCAUCGAAUCUUUGAACGCACAUUGCGCCCGCCAGCACUCUGGCGGGCAUGCCUGUUCGAGCGUCAUUUCAACCAUCAAGCCCCAGGCUUGCGUUGGAGCCCUGCGGCUGCCGCAGCCCCCUAAAAGCAGUGGCGGGCUCGCUAUCACACCGAGUGCAGUAGAUUACUCUUCGCUCAGGGCGUGCAGCGGGUUCCGGCCGUGAAACCCCCUACUUUUAAAGGUUGACCUCGGAUCAGGUAGGAAUACCCGCUGAACUUAAGCAUAUCAAUAAGCGGAGGA
rnacentral:misc_RNA from 1 species